GACGAACGCUGGCGGCGUGCCUAAUACAUGCAAGUCGAGCGAAGCGGCGGAUGGGUGAGUAACGCGUGGGUAACCUGCCCUUAAGUCUGGGAUACCAUUUGGAAACAGAUGCUAAUACCGGAUACUAAAGGAUGGUCCUGCGAUGCAUUAGCUAGGUGGUAAGGUAACGGCUUACCAAGGCGAUGAUGCGUAGCCGGUGUGAGGGGCUGGUGGGCCACAGUUGGACUGAGACACGGCCCAAACGCCUACGGGAGGCAGCAGUAGGGAAUCUUGCACAAUGGACGAAAGUCUGAUGGAGCAACGCCGCGUGAGUGAAGAAGGUGUUCGGAUCGUAAAGCUCUGUUGUUGGUGAAGCGGUAAUCAACCAGAAAGUCACGGCUAACUACGUGCCAGCAGCCGCGGUAAUUC
rnacentral:rRNA from 1 species